UGUGGAUCUUGGAAUCGCAUGGUCCGCAGAGAAACGCUGCGUCUGCUCGGCAGAAUAGUGUCGCUGCCGUUGAUUUGCACGAGUCGCAUAAAAUUGACUCUUGGUGGUGCUGUGGAAAUGGCGAUUGGAUUGGACGCGCUGAGAUGGGUCAUGGAGAUCUGAGAGUAACGAAUAAAGAGAUGACACGUGUUAGUGAACCUUAGCCGAAUAGUGAGACAUUGCGGAGAGGUGGACCUAGACUCCUAGUAAUGUGAUGUGAAGUGAUUUUCUUGGGACUUUCAUAAUUUUUUUCGGAAUUUUUUUCUUACUUCUUUUUUUGUCGGCAAGUGAAUUCGGAUUUAAACGUUUGUGUCUUUUACUGUUACCGAACCAAAAUUUUCGAAUUAAACCGGUUUUUGGUCA